UACGGAGGUGGCAAGCGUUAUUCGGAAUCACUGGGCUUAAAGCGCGUGUAGGCGGAGUGUUGGGUGUCUCGUGAAAGCCCCGGGCUCAACCCGGGAAUGGCUGGGCAAACCGGCACUCUUGAGGCAGGUAGAGGUGACUGGAACGACGGGUGGAGCGGUGAAAUGCGUAGAUAUCCGUUGGAACGCCGGAGGCGAAAGCGGGUCACUGGGCCUGUUCUGACGCUGAGACGCGAAAGCGUGGGUAGCAAACAGG
rnacentral:rRNA from 1 species